GUGGUGUCGCCAUAACCUCAUCGCAUACUGUCGAGAUAGGAAAUGUCCUUCUUAAACUGAAGAAGGGUAAAAUUGAGGAGCAGCAGACAGAUGUCAUCGUAAACACAACAUCUUCAGACCUAAACCUGAGCAGUGGGGAAAUCUCCAAAGCUUUACUUCAGAAAGCUGGUUCUGAAAUGCAACAUGCAAUAAGGACUGUGUUUUCUCCAAGCCAAUAUGUCAUCCCCACAAAAUCCUACAGGCUGCGAUGUAAAGAGGUUUAUCAUACUAGAAUUGUACCAGGGACAUCUUCAAGCCGGGAGGUACAGUAUGAGUUUAUCUGUUAUGGGGCAUUUUAGCUAAAAUAAGGGAAAAAUAUUUGAUUAUUUAUAGUCCAAUGUACUGAAACUGCCAUAUCCCAUCCUG